rnacentral:rRNA from 1 species
UACGUAGGGGGCCAGCGUUGCUCGGAAUUACUGGGCGUAAAGGGUCCGUAGGCGGUGUAGCAAGUCGAUAGUGAAAUCUCUGGGCUUAACCCAGAGGCUGCUAACGAAACUGCUGUGCUAGAGUGUGAGAGAGGCGAGUGGAAUUACGGGUGUAGCGGUGAAAAUGCGUAGAUAUCCGUAGGAACAUCCGAGGCGAAGGCGGCUCGCUGGAUCACAACUGACGCUGAGGGACGAAAGCUAGGGGAGCAAACAGG